GACAACCAAACUCCAUCAAUCAAGAGGAACUUAAUCCAGGGAGCCCUUUGAAAAAAAUGUCAUCCUUUUCCCAGGGUUCUUCUGCUCACUGGGUCAGAAGCAUCCGAUUUCCUGUCAUCGGUUGCGGUUCAGCCAUGUUAAUACUGAAAGUAUAAGAAUAUCAUAAUCCCAGAGUGAUAUAAAGACCUUUCCAAGGAAGAUGAGAUACCCGGAGGCUGUGAAGGAGAAGUCUGAAGGAUUUGAACGCGUUCAAAUGAAAACCUUUGGUUCAGCAAAACACCAGAAACAAAUUCAAAAGAUAAAAUACACUCCGGAGAAGCCCAUUCUCUCAACGCAUCUGACAGUUCACAAAGAGCAACUGCAGUCCAACUUAAAAAAUAAAGAAAAUGGUAGGAAAAUGGGCAACAUGCACUGAGGCAAUAUAUAAGAAGAAGGAAUGCGCAAUUAAUCAACAAAAGCCUGCUCUUUCCUAACGAGUGAAGAUACAAGCUUAGUAAAUAUUAAAAUUUAUUGAAGAUAAAAAUGGACACUUCCGGCCAUAUAUAAAAGCAUUGUUGGUAAGAGAGUGGGGUAAUUGACAUGCUCCUGGGAAAUAAUACGCAUUCAGACAACCUCUAAUGAGUGAAUCCACUGGGGGUAUCCACUAGGAAUAGAAAACGACCACCAAUGCCCAAGUUUGUGGUCCAGAAUUUGAGCAGCGAUCUAACAAAGUAGAGUCUCCCCCUGUGUCAUGGGCCCCACUUCUUAAGCAAAGAAGAAUGCCUCAUUUUGGUAACUCACCCAAAUAAACAGAAAUUUUUUUUGAUAAUCUUAUCGCAUUUAUUUGGUUAAGUCUGAGGCAGAAUAUUUUUCUCCUUUGUAUCUUUGUUUUGUUUUGUUUUAAUCCUUGAAGUUUAUUACCAAACUACAUCUUGGUGUUUCUUCAGGAUGUGAACAGGCCUUUCUAUUCUCAAUUAAGUGUUUCUUUCCUUUAAUUCAGGAAUCUUCUAAUCAUGUAUUUUAAUUUCUUUUUCUGUCAUCCCUCCCCACGCCAUAAGCUACCAGUCACUAUACAUGUUGGAGCUCUCUUUAUUGUGCCAUAGAUCUCUGAUGUCAUGUCUUUAGUCAUUAUUUUGUGUCAGAAAUUUUUGUUCUUCCGGGGACAUCUGGCAAUAUCUAGAGACAUGCUACUGGCACCUAUAGAAAUGCUAGUGACUUAUUAUGGGUAGAGGCUAAAGAUGCUGCUAAAUAUCCUACAAUGCCCAGGACAGCCACUGCCACAACAAAGAAUUAUGCAGUCCACAAUGUCCAUAGUGCUAAGGAGAAGAAACCCUGUCCUAGGGUCAAGGUUGGAUGCUGACAAGACUAAUUUCAAGUGAUUUCAAACGAUUGUGGGGAAAAUACCCAGAAGUUGACAGGAGCAAUAUGUAGAUAUUUCCUUCUGUAAAUUAUAUUUCCCUAAUGCUAAUGCUGGAGCAUUUGGAAACACGUGUAUAAAUAUUUGAAGCACAAAACCAGAGAGAUGCUCUUAUGUAUUUAGCUUCUAGUUUUAAAUAAUAGAUACUACAAUAAACCUUGAUUAAACCUUGAUUAUCU
rnacentral:lncRNA from 1 species